rnacentral:rRNA from 1 species
ACUGCUCAGUAACACGUGGAUAACCUGCCCUUGGGUCCGGCAUAACCCCGGGAAAACUGGGGAUAAUUCCGGAUAACGCACAUAUGCUGGAAUGCUUUAUGCGUCAAAUGGAUUCGUCUGCCCAAGGAUGGGUCUGCGGCCUAUCAGGUAGUAGUGGGUGUAAUGUACCUACUAGCCGACAACGGGUACGGGUUGUGAGAGCAAGAGCCCGGAGAUGGAUUCUGAGACAUGAAUCCAGGCCCUACGGGGCGCAGCAGGCGCGAAAACUUUACAAUGCGGGAAACCGUGAUAAGGGGACACCGAGUGCCAGCAUCAUAUGCUGGCUGUCCAGAUGUGUAAAAUACAUCUGUUAGCAAGGGCCGGGCAAGACCGGUGCCAGCCGCCGCGGUAACACCGGCGGCCCGAGUGGUGAUCGUGAUUAUUGGGUCUAAAGGGUCCGUAGCCGGUUUGGUCAGUCCUCCGGGAAAUCUGAUAGCUCAACUAUUAGGCUUUCGGGGGAUACUGCCAGACUUGGAACCGGGAGAGGUAAGAGGUACUACAGGGGUAGGAGUGAAAUCUUGUAAUCCCUGUGGGACCACCUGUGGCGAAGGCGUCUUACCAGAACGGGUUCGACGGUGAGGGACGAAAGCUGGGGGCACGAACCGGAUUAGAUACCCGGGUAGUCCCAGCCGUAAACGAUGCUCGCUAGGUGUCAGACAUGGCGCGACCGUGUCUGGUGCCGCAGGGAAGCCGUGAAGCGAGCCACCUGGGAAGUACGGCCGCAAGGCUGAAACUUAAAGGAAUUGGCGGGGGAGCA